UACGGAGGGUGCAAACGUUGCUCGGAAUCAUUGGGCGUAAAGCGCACGUAGGCGGCACGUUAAGUCGGAUGUGAAAGCCCCGGGCUCAACCCGGGAAGUGCAUUCGAAACUGGCGCGCUUGAAUAUGGAAGAGGGUCGCGGAAUUCCCGGGUGUAGAGGUGAAAUUCGUAGAUAUCGGGUAGAACACCAGUGGCGAAGGCGGCUAUCUGGACGGACACUGACGCUGAGACGCGAAACGUGGGGAGCAAACAGG
rnacentral:rRNA from 1 species